rnacentral:rRNA from 1 species
GUGCCAGCAGCCGCGGUAAUACGUACUGCGCGAACGUUAUUCGGAAUCACUGGGCUUACAGGGUGCGUAGGCGGCUUUUCAGGUCUGGUGUGAAAUCCCCCGGCUCAACCGGGGAAUGGCAUUGGAAACCGAAAGGCUUGAGGUAGCUAGAGGCAUGCGGAACUUCCGGUGGAGCGGUGAAAUGUGUUGAGAUCGGAAGGAACACCAGAGGCGAAAGCGGCAUGCUGGGGCUAUUCUGACGCUGAGGCACGAAAGCCAGGGGAGCGAACGGGAUUAGAUACCCCCGUAGUCC